CAGCAGCCGCGGUAAUACGUAGGUCCCGAGCGUUGUCCGGAUUUAUUGGGCGUAGAGCGAGCGCAGGCGGUUAGACAAGUCUGAAGUUAAAGGCUGUGGCUUAACCAUAGUACGCUUUGGAAACUGUUUAACUUGAGUGCAGAAGGGGAGAGUGGAAUUCCAUGUGUAGCGGUGAAAUGCGUAGAUAUAUGGAGGAACACCGGUGGCGAAAGCGGCUCUCUGGUCUGUAACUGACGCUGAGGCGCGAAAGCGUGGGGAGCAAACAGGAUUAGAGACCCCCGUAGUCCCUGUCUCUUAUACA
rnacentral:rRNA from 1 species